GGUGAACGGCUGGCGGGCGUGCCUAACACAUGCAAGUCGAGCGGUGCAGUUUGAAGCUUCGGUGGAAAGCUGCAUAGCGGCGGACGGGUGAGGAAAACGUAGGAACGUGCCCCUUGGAGUUGGAUAGCCACGGGAAACUGUGGGUAAACCGACAUAGACUCGAGAGAGUAAAGGCCGAAAGGCGCCAAGGGAGCGGCCUGCGGCCCAUCAGGGUAGUUGGUAGUGUAAAGGACUACCAAGCCGACGACGGGUAGCCGGUCUGAGAGGAUGGCCGGCCACAAGGGGCACUGAGAGACGGGCCCUACUCCUACGGGAGGCAGCAGUGGGGGAUUUUGGACAAUGGGCGAAAGCCUGAUCCAGCGACGCCGCGUGGAGGACGAAGCCCUUCGGGGUGUAAACUCCUUUUCUCAGGGAAAAAGGAUGAUGGUACCUGAGGAAUAAGCCCCGGCUAACUACGUG
rnacentral:rRNA from 1 species